rnacentral:rRNA from 1 species
AUGUACGUGGUACGGAGUCUGAAAGGUAAAGGAACGUUACUCUUCGGAGUGAGAGCGUACACAGGUGCUGCAUGGCUGUUGUCAGCUCGUGUCGUGAGAUGUUGGGUUAAGUCCCGCAACGAGCGCAACCCCUGCAUUCAGUUGCCAUCGGUAAGGCCGGGCACUCUGGAUGGACUGCCGGCGACAAGCCGGAGGAAGGUGGGGACGACGUCAAGUCAGCAUGGCCUUUAUAUCCUGGGCUACACACACGCUACAAUGGGAAGGGACAAUAGGUUGCGAAGCCGCGAGGCGGAGCCAAUCCAGCAAAACUUCCCUCAGUUCAGAUUGCAGGCUGCAACUCGACUGCGUGAAGUCGGAAUCGCUAGUAAUCGUGAAUCAGAAUGUCACGGUGAAUACGUUCCCGGGCCUU